rnacentral:misc_RNA from 1 species
UCCGAGUUGACCCCGGCAGUCUCCUGCGAGUCCCCGCCAUUACGCGCUGGCAACACAGGACAAGGGUUGCGCUCGUUGCGGGACUUAACCCAACAUCUCACGACACGAGCUGACGACAGCCAUGCAGCACCUGUGCACGGGCUCCGAAGAGGGGCGGUGGUUUCUCACCGCUUUCCCGUGUGUGUCAAGCCUAGGUAAGGUUCUUCGCGUUGCGUCGAAUUAAACCACAUGCUCCACCGCUUGUGUGGGCCCCCGUCAAUUCCUUUGAGUUUUAACCUUGCGGCCGUACUCCCCAGGCGGGAUGCUUAAUGCGUUAGCUGCGCCACCAACAAGCAUGCUUGCUGACGGCUAGCAUCCAUCGUUUAAGGCGUGGACUAC